rnacentral:rRNA from 1 species
UACGUAGGUGACAAGCGUUGUCCGGAUUUACUGGGCGUAAAGAGCGCGCAGGCGGUCGAUCAAGUCGAGUGUGAAAGCCCCGGCUCAACUGGGGAGGGUCAUUCGAAACUGGUCGACUCGAAGGCAGGAGAGGGUAGUGGAAUUCCCGGUGUAGUGGUGAAAUGCGUAGAUAUCGAGAGGAACACCUGCGGCGAAGGCGGGUUGCUGGGCUGACACUGACGCUGAGGCGCGAAAGCUAGGGGAGCGAACGGG